rnacentral:SRP_RNA from 1 species
CGGUGGGUCUUAGGCGGGGGGCUAGGGGUCCCCUGAGAGGCCUCACGGGCCUCGACCGCAAACCCCCUAUACGGCGGGCCGAGAGCUGAAGUGAGGCGUGUAAGGCUGCGGCCCCAACCAGUCCUAAGCUAUGAUUACCUGUCCUCUGGGGCUGGCGGUCGCGGAGCACCCCUCGUAGGAGGGGUGUAACCGCGUUUGCCGGGUGAACCUGGCCAGGCCCGGGAGGGAGCAACCUAAGCCCGGACGUGCGGCGCUCAGAGGGGUGCGGGUACGAGCGGCGGGCUGGCUUGGGCCCGCAGAUUCUGCACGCCGAGCUUCAGUGACCCACCG